CUAGUGAGGAUAAGCGGUUUAGAAGAUGAAUGAAUGAAUGAAUGAAGCAGGUUUUCCAGCCAAGAAGUCCGAAGGGCCGCAGAGACACAGGCGGUCAAAAACUUCACUCCCGCCCAGAAGGAAAAAGUUGCCCGAUACAUGGCACACACGGUUCCGAAUCAAAAUCUGGAGGAGUCCCUGGGCCAGACAGCUUCGUCUUCCCCCGGCUGCCGGAGCCGACCAGUAUGACGCCUGUAAUAAGACAAAAAAAAAAAAAAAAAAAACAAAAUAAACCAUUAUGGCAGUGUCAAAUAACAAAAAAAAUAAAAAGGAAUGGAUAUAGCUCAAAUACUGGCUGGACAUGACGUGCUGCCGAGGGGGGCUGCCGGAAGACCAGGCUGCUUGUGUGCCGCCAUGCGAUCGCCAUUAAGACAGAACGUGUCUUCGUCGACACAAAUGAGCAAGUCAGAUUGUGAAUAUGAUGCCUGCUGAGAGGACAUCAGCCGCGGUUGUAGUGGUGUAAAAGACACAAGGGAUAAGAAAUAACAAAGUCUUACCUCGUCUCAUUGUGCUCAGCCAUUGUAUCUGCAGCAAAAACAGACAACAAGCUAAAAACAACAAGCUAAUAAACAACAAUCAAAAUCACAGCAAGUACAGCUGCACCUUUAUACCUGACUGUGGGCGGGACAGUGGGCCUAGCCCACCUGUGUGAAGGAGCCAGUCAGACACGUCAUCAUCAGAGGGUUUUAUUUUGUAGUCCACGCCGCCGGUUCCCCUACGUCACUUCCUUGUACACCGGAAGCUGUAUCUUGCGUUAGCAGAGGAGACAACGCGCGGCACGGUGGCAGCAUGUCGUACGCAAUGAGACGAGACCGUGGCAGGGGCCGGGGAGGCCGCUUCCGUCCCCGUGGAGGGCUGGUCCAGGGGUGAGUAGCUGCCAGUGUCACCCAGAAGAAUAUGUUUGCCUUCGGGAAGAGCCGGACAGACACAGACACAGCGCUGGAGGAGCAGCUCAGACUCCACAUCAGGGCACACAACCAAAAGCUGAAUCUCUGCAUUGGUUCAACGGCGCCAGGCUGGAUGUAACCUGCAGCACAUCACCUGGUCUGAGGGGGGCGCUGCUCCAUUCAAACAUCAUAACCCUGAAACAGCUGGUGGAUGCAGUGGGGCCGGCGCUGAGGGACGCCCAGGCCCUGGGCUCUCUACUAGGAAUGAGGUCUGUCCGGGUGGCACAGAGGACCCUGGAGCUGCAGACCAAAAGG